rnacentral:rRNA from 1 species
CACGUAGGGCGCAAGCGUUGUCCGGAAUUAUUGGGCGUAAAGAGCUCGUAGGCGGUCUGUUGCGUCCGCUGUGAAAACUCGGGGCUUAACCCCGAGCCUGCAGUGGAUACGGGCAGACUAGAGGUAGGUAGGGGAGAAUGGAAUUCCCGGUGUAGCGGUGAAAUGCGCAGAUAUCGGGAGGAACACCGGUGGCGAAGGCUGUUCUCUGGGCCUUACCUGACGCUGAGGAGCGAAAGCGUGGGGAGCGAACAGG